rnacentral:misc_RNA from 1 species
CCAGUCUGUCCAAGUCCAAGCCUCACCGCAAAGGCAUCCUGGCUCGUGCACGUUCUCGUGUCAUGCGGCUGAUGCCAAGACCCACCAACGGGCACUGCCUGCCCAGGAUUCGCUGCGACUGCGACUCACAUGGUCUCCAAACAAGAACCUUUUUCUUGUUCUUCUGGUCGCCAUUAAAAUCGACCACUCUUUUGUUUGUUUCUUCAAGCCAAGCCCGUCCACCAACGGAGCAGCAGCAGUUGUAGGCUUGGAGCAGCCCACAUCACCGGUAGGGGGGAAGAGGAAAUGCUACAAGUAUACUGAUGGAAGAAAGAAGUGAUCCUAAACUAGUGGCACCAAUAACGAUAACAACCUUACUCUGGCAAUCCAUGUGUCGAUUUCUCUCUUAACUUCGUGCAAGGAUUCUCAAGUUCCAACGGGACCUUUUUUCCCCCAUGAAAACGUAAAGUUUCGGAUUCACGGUUCCCCAAAACAAAUAACUAAUGGGCCUUGGUUUGGUGGUGGCCCAGACGUACUGGGCUGGAUGUGGGCUAUACAAUCAUAGUGUGCCAUUAGCUCGCCCUGCAAGAACUCCGGCCAGGCCCCGCCGCCAGCGCGACUGGCAGGACGGCGGCGCCGGGGUCCCGGGGCCGCACCGCUCGAGCGCCGCGUGCGCUGGAG